AGGGAUGUAGCUCAGUGGUAGAGUGCUUGUCUAACAUGCACAAAGCCCUGGGUUAAAUCCCCAGCAUCUUUA
rnacentral:tRNA from 1 species